ACCUGAGACAAAGACAUUAUGAAACGAUCCAACCAGACUGUCCUGUCCCUCUGACUCUGGGACUCUGACACACCUGUGUGGUUUGGAUCAAACUCCUGAAACGCAGCGAUGAGAUGUGACGUGUGGACGAACAGUUGUUCCCUCAGAGCUUGGAGAGCGGAUCGUUCGGUCCAGCCUACGCUGGAGAGAGGAGAUCAGAUGUUCAUGUAACACACACACUGGCCACUUUAUUAGAGAGAGCUCUCGGCACGUUUGGCUGGCCUGAUACUGGACAACAUGCGGGACCAGAUCUGGGCCCAGUUUGAUGUAGGCUCCUCUGUUGCUGCCCACUUCGUAGUAGUUGGAGGCUGAAAAGAUGGUCAGCACCUGAACACGAGGCAGAGCAGAGGUUGACAGUUACAGCAGCUCAGUCAUUCUAUUUGUUUUAAAACAAAGAAGAUAUAUAACUAUU